rnacentral:rRNA from 1 species
UCAGGACGAACGCUGGCGGCGUGCCUAAUACAUGCAAGUCGAACGGUCUUUCUAUGGAAGCUUGCUUCCACUGAGAAGAUAGUGGCGAACGGGUGAGUAACACGUGGGUAACCUGCCCAUAAGAGGGGGAUAACAUCCGGAAACGGGUGCUAAUACCGCAUAGUUUUCUUGAUCGCAUGAUUGAGAAAGGAAAGACGGCCUUUGUGCUGUCGCUUAUGGAUGGACCCGCGGCGUAUUAGUUAGUUGGUGAGGUAACGGCUCACCAAGACGAUGAUACGUAGCCGACCUGAGAGGGUGAUCGGCCACAUUGGGACUGAGACACGGCCCAAACUCCUACGGGAGGCAGCAGUAGGGAAUCUUCCGCAAUGGACGAAAGUCUGACGGAGCAACGCCGCGUGAGUGAAAGAAGGUUUUCGGAUCGUAAAACUCUGUUGUCAGAGAAGAACAAGUUGGAGAGUAACUGCUCCAGCCUUGACGGUAUCUGACCAGAAAGCCACGGCUAACUACGUGCCAGCCGCGGC